CCUACGGGAGGCAGCAGUGGGGAAUAUUGGGCAAUGGGCGCAAGCCUGACCCAGCAACGCCGCGUGAGGGAGGAAGGCUUUCGGGGUGUAAACUUCUUUUGUCAGGGACGAAGCAAGUGGCGGUACCUGACGGUUAAGCCACGCCUAACUACGUGCCCGCAGCCGCGGUAAUACGUAGGUGGCAAGCGUUAUCCGGAUUUAUUGGGUGUAAAGGGCGUGGAGGCGGGAAUGUAAGUCAGAUGUGAAAACUAUGGGCUCAACCCAUAGCCUGCAUUUGAAACUGUAGUUCUUGAGUGCGGGAGAGGCAAUCGGAAUUCCGUGUGUAGCGGUGAAAUGCGUAGAUAUACGGAGGAACACCAGUGGCGAAGGCGGAUUGCUGGACAGUAACUGACGCUGAGGCGCGAAAGCGUGGGGAGCAAACAGGAUUAGAUACCCCAGUAGUC
rnacentral:rRNA from 1 species